rnacentral:rRNA from 1 species
AUGAGCCGCUCGGCCGCUGCGGGCGACGACCGGCAGAAGGCGGCGUGCCUCGCAAUCGCCGCCUCUACCUCCGCCGUGGCCGAUCCUCCUCCCCCGACGCCAGCCGAAGCGAGCUCCUCGCCCACGGCGUCGGCGCAGAGGCCGCACAGCCACCGCCCGGCGUACUGCGCGCGCACGCCGGCCGCGUACGCCGCAGUGCACUCCUCCCUCAGCCCGCAGCACGCGCACGCCGCCCACUCCACCUCGGCUGCCGAGGCAGCCUCGAUGGGCGGCACGACGUCCUGCACAACCACCGCCGACAUGCCACCACGGUGA